UACGGAGGGUGCGAGCGUUGUCCGGAAUCACUGGGCGUAAAGGGCGCGUAGGUGGCGCGGGCAGUCAACGGUGAAAGUUCGGGGCUCAACCCUGAAUCGGCCGUCGAUACUCCCGGGCUUGAGCACUGUAGAGGCAGAUGGAAUUCCGGGUGUAGCGGUGGAAUGCGUAGAGAUCCGGAGGAACACCAAAGGCGAAGGCAGUGUCCUGGGGAGUACCUGACGCUCAGGUGCGAAAGCCAGGGGAGCGAACGGG
rnacentral:rRNA from 1 species